rnacentral:rRNA from 1 species
GACGAACGCUGGCGGCGUGCUUAACACAUGCGAGUCGAACGGAAAGGCCCUGCUUUUGUGGGGUGCUCGAGUGGCGAACGGGUGAGUAACACGUGAGUAACCUGCCCUUGACUUUGGGAUAACUUCAGGAAACUGGGGCUAAUACCGGAUAGGAGCUCCUGCUGCAUGGUGGGGGUUGGAAAGUUUCGGCGGUUGGGGAUGGACUCGCGGCUUAUCAGCUUGUUGGUGGGGUAGUGGCUACCAAGGCUUUGACGGGUAGCCGGCCUGAGAGGGUGACCGGCCACAUUGGGACUGAGAUACGGCCCAGACUCCUACGGGAGGCAGCAGUGGGGAAUAUUGCACAAUGGGCGGAAGCCUGAUGCAGCAACGCCGCGUGCGGGAUGACGGCCUUCGGGUUGUAAACCGCUUUCGCCUGUGACGAAGCGUGAGUGACGGUAAUGGGUAAGGAAGCACCGGCUAACUACGUG